GCCCCGUAACUUCGGGAGAAGGGGUCCGCCUCACAAAAGGGGACCGCAGUGACCAGGCCCGGGCAACUGUUUACCAAAAACACAGGUCUCCGCAAAGUCGUAAGACCAUGUAUGGGGGCUGACGCCUGCCCAAUGCCGGAAGUCCAAGGAGUUUGAGGUCAAUUGAGCAAAGGAAAAUAUCACUUGCUUCACAAUGUGCCAUUUAGGGCAGAAUAGGAAAUGAAUUAUUUGGGGAUU
rnacentral:ncRNA from 1 species